CGCACACACAUACGAGGCGAGGCGAGCCUCUUAUAACAGCCGUGAGUUGAGCACCUCUUUUAAGCCUUUUUAAAUAAAAACAUCUGGAAUCUCAGUCUUGAUCGGGUGACUAUCUGUCUUAAACAGUUUAUUGAACAGUUUGAUCGCCUGAUACGAUGUUACACACACACACACUUGCGCACACACAUACGAGGCGAGGCGAGGCGAGCCUCUUAUAACAGCCGUGAGUUGAGCACCUCUUUUAAGCCUUUUUAAAUAAAAACAUCUGGAAUCUCAGUCUUGAUCGGGUGACUAUCUGUCUUAAACAGUUUAUUGAACAGUUUGAUCGCCUCAUACGAUGUUACACACACUGACACACUUGCGCACACACAUACGAGGCGAGGCGAGGCGAGCCUCUUAAAACAGCCGUGAGUUGAGCACCUCUUUUAAGCCUUUUUAAAUUAAAAA